rnacentral:rRNA from 1 species
UACGUAGGGUGCGAGCGUUAAUCGGAAUUACUGGGCGUAAAGCGUGCGCAGGCGGUUUUGUAAGCCAGAUGUGAAAUCCCCGGGCUUAACCUGGGAAUGGCAUUUGGGACUGCAAGGCUUGAGUGCGGCAGAGGAGACUGGAAUUCCUGGUGUAGCAGUGAAAUGCGUAGAUAUUGGGAAGAACACCGGUGGCGAAGGCGGCUCUCUGGACAGUGACUGACGCUGAGACGCGAAAGCGUGGGGAGCAAACAGG